AAGACCUCGCGCUAUUGGAGCGGCCGAUGUCCGAUUAGCUAGUUGGUGAGGUAAUGGCCCACCAAGGCAACGAUCGGUAGCUGGUCUGAGAGGAUGAUCAGCCACACUGGGACUGAGACACGGCCCAGACUCCUACGGGAGGCAGCAGUGGGGAAUUUUGGACAAUGGGCGCAAGCCUGAUCCAGCCAUGCCGCGUGAGUGAAGAAGGCCUUCGGGUUGUAAAGCUCUUUCGGCCGGAACGAAAUCGUCCGGGCUAAUACCCCGGAUGGAUGACGGUACCGGAAGAAGAAGCACCGGCUAACUACGUGCCAGCAGCCGCGGUAAUACGUAGGGUGCGGGCGUUAAUCGGAAUUACUGGGCGUAAAGCGUGCGCAGGCGGCUUCCUAAGUCAGAUGUGAAAUCCCCGGGCUUAACCUGGGAACU
rnacentral:rRNA from 1 species